AGUCGAACGAGAGAGAGGAAGCUUGCUUCCUCAAUCGAGUGGCGAACGGGUGAGUAACGCGUGAGGAACCUGCCUCAAAGAGGGGGACAACAGUUGGAAACGACUGCUAAUACCGCAUAAGCCCACGGGUCGGCAUCGACCAGAGGGAAAAGGAGCAAUCCGCUUUGAGAUGGCCUCGCGUCCGAUUAGCUGGUUGGUGAGGUAAUGGCCCACCAAGGCGACGAUCGGUAGCCGGACUGAGAGGUUGAACGGCCACAUUGGGACUGAGACACGGCCCAGACUCCUACGGGAGGCAGCAGUGGGGAAUAUUGCACAAUGGGGGAAACCCUGAUGCAGCGACGCCGCGUGGAGGAAGAAGGUCUUCGGAUUGUAAACUCCUGUUGUUGAGGAAGAUAAUGACGGUACUCAACAAGGAAGUGACGGCUAACUACGUGCCAGCAGCCGCGGUAAAACGUAGGUCACAAGCGUUGUCCGGAAUUACUGGGUGUAAAGGGAGCGCAGGCGGGAAGACAAGUUGGAAGUGAAAUCUAUGGGCUCAACCCAUAAACUGCUUUCAAAACUGUUUUUCUUGAGUAGUGCAGAGGUAGGCGGAAUUCCCGGUGUAGCGGUGGAAUGCGUAGAUAUCGGGAGGAACACC
rnacentral:rRNA from 1 species